rnacentral:tRNA from 1 species
UGUCCAGGUAGUUUAAGUAAAACGUUGGUUUGUGGGGCCGAAGUUAUAAAUUAAUUUAUUUUGGACAG